GAUGAAGAACGCAGCGAAAUGCGAUAAGUAAUGUGAAUUGCAGAAUUCAGUGAAUCAUCGAAUCUUUGAACGCACAUUGCGCCCGCCAGUAUUCUGGCGGGCAUGCCUGUCCGAGCGUCAUUUCAACCAUCAAGCCCCCGGGCUUGUGUUGGGGACCUGCGGCUGCCCGCAGGCCCUGAAAACCAGUGGCGGGCUCGCUGUCACACCGAGCGUAGUAGCAAUCACCUCGCUCAGGGCGUGUGGCGGGUUCCAGCCGUGAAACCCCCUACUUCUCAAGGUUGACCUCGGAUCAGGUAGGAAUACCCGCUGAACUUAAGCAUAUCAAUAAGCGGAGGA
rnacentral:misc_RNA from 1 species